rnacentral:tRNA from 1 species
GUGGGAGUAGCUCAAUUGGUAGAGCACCGGACUGUGGCUCCGGACGUUGCGGGUUCAAUCCCCGUCUCCCACCCCA